rfam:Picea glauca, whole genome shotgun sequence.
GGUCCCGUAGCUCAGUUGGUUAGAGCAUUGGUCUUAUGGCCAUCACAUGCGCAAGCCGAAGGUCGCGGGUUCGAACCCCGCCGGGACCA